UACGUAGGGUGCGAGCGUUAAUCGGAAUUACUGGGCGUAAAGUGUGCGCAGGCGGCGUUGCAAGUCGAGUGUGAAAUCCCCCGAGCUUAACUUGGGAAUUGCGCUCGAAACUACGAUGCUCGAGUGUGGCAGAGGAAGGUGGAAUUCCACGUGUAGCGGUGAAAUGCGUAGAGAUGUGGAGGAACACCGAUGGCGAAGGCGCCUAUCUGGCCCGAUACUGACGCUGAGGCGCGAAAGCUAGGGGAGCAAACGGG
rnacentral:rRNA from 1 species